AACGCACAUUGCGCCCGCCAGUAUUCUGGCGGGCAUGCCUGUUCGAGCGUCAUUUCAACCAUCAAGCCCCAGGCUUGUGUUGGAGCCCUGCGGCUGCCCGCAGCCUCCUAAAAGCAGUGGCGGGCUCGCUAUCACACCGAGUGCAGUAGUUUACUCUUCGCUCAGGGCGUGUAGCGGGUUCCGGCCGUGAAAACCCCCUACUUCUUAAGGUUGACCUCGGAUCAGGUAGGAAUACCCGCUGAACUUAA
rnacentral:misc_RNA from 1 species